GAAAUGUUUUACUGCUUCAUGGUUAAUGGUGGGUAUUGAUGCAUAUUCAUGACUUCAUAAAGGAGUGAAAAGAAUUGCGUUACAUUGAAUACUUUAUGCAUAGAGUGAAUCUGCUUCGGUACUAUAAAGUAACAUCGAUUGUUGUUUUUGAUGGUGGUAAUGUUCCUUGCAAAUCAGCAACUGAGAAAGAGAGGAACAAGUAUUUGUUUUAUUGCUGUUUUUUUAAAUUUUUCAUUUCAAGUUUUAAUAUUUGAAUCAAUUUUUUUUUAUGUUUGUGUGAAUUUGGUUGUUUUAGGAAAAAGAAUGGUUAUCAUGAUUAGGCAAUGGCUAAGCUCAAAUAAGGGAAUGUUAAUGCUGCUUCAGAGCUAUUUCAGGUUAGGAGCAUUUUUAAAUUUAAAAUUACAUACUAAGGACACCAAAAACACGACACCGA